rnacentral:lncRNA from 1 species
AUGUCUGAGGACAGUGCGAGGGUCACCUUUGACUGGGUGCUGGACCAGGUGAGAUGGCUGCUGCAGGUGUCUUCGCCUGCGGAGCUCGGCACCUUGUUUCAGAAGAUGUUGGAGGCGCAGGUCUUUCCCAACUACCACUACCUGUCCCCCUGUGAAGAAGAGCACUCCCUGUGGGAGAGAGGUGCCUGCGAGACGGACCGUGAAGAUCUGGCACGGAGGAUGGCGCUACCUAUGUGGCAAAGGUGGGAUGCCUGUCAGGGGAUUUUGCAAUCCGUGCUGCACCAGGAAGCUGUCUCCAGUUUGGAAUGUCCCGGGAUCUCCUUAGGUAACUUUUGGGAGUCUUGGAACGCCGAACUGAUAGACAAUAAUGUGGAAGAUGCGGACAGUGUCCUCGCUGACCUCUACAGCAAUUCAAUCCUUUUGGAGACUGUCAGCUGUGAUCAGGACCUUGGCGACCAAAGAGAGACCGGUGCGUUUCUGGAACCAUGCAACCCCAAUGGAGGUGAAGUGCAGCUGACGCCACUGGAGACAGUCUGCUUUACUCAAGUUUCUGCAAGUGCAACAGAAAAAGUGUAUGGGCCAUGUGCAUUGCCGGUCACCAGAGAUUCUGAUCAAGCCUCUGUCAGCCAGAAGAAUGAAGGUAUU